CAUGAACUCGCUGCUGAAAACACUUCGCAAUGUUGUGGAGCUCGGCGAGGAGGAGUCGCCAGGAGCGUUCGCGCCAUCGCAGCGCGACAGCGUAGACGAGCAAUCUAAUCCAGAGGUGCUGAGACACAUAUUUCCACCCUCACCCAGAAACUGGCCCGCCAGGUAAAGUCCUACGAGAGCUGAGGGGGGAAAGCAUCUCCAUGGAAAAGGAACUCACGCGUGUGCGCCUCCGCUUCGCCGCCGCGCGGAAGCUGUGGGAGUCCACCAACAAUAGUCUCGAGCUUUCCAUUCAGAACUUAGUCGAGCACCGGCUCUUCGGCGCCGCUUCUGCCGCCCCCGCUAGGCCUAGCACGGCGUUUGGCAGCAGCUCCGACAAGGUUUCGCCCAACCCUGCGGACACCCCCUUGCUUGAUGCCAUCUACGUUGCCUCUCUGCGUGAGCAGAUUCAGCGACUGAAGGAAAUGGUGAUGCGGAGCGCGAGGAGCGGAGUCAGCUGCAAAGUGAGAAGCAAUACGAAGAGAUGCAGCGAGUGUUGCAUGCGAGCGGCUUCACCACCUCGCACCUUGAUGCUCAGGUGCGUGCGGCGGUUCAGAAGCUGGUAGCCCACUGGGGCAACGAGCGGGCCUACUACGAGUCGGUUAUUGAGAGUCUUGAACAGAACGCUGCAAAACAUGCUGAGCGGGAGGCGUUGUUGAGUGACUGUGUAAAGCAGGAGCAGGAGCGCCGUGCAGAGGCAACGGCGCAGAACUCCGCUGCGGAGUCUGAAGAACUGCGACGUCUUCGCGAGGAGCUCGAGCAGUGGAAACGCGGAAGGCGCACUGUCAUGGAGAGUACCUCUGGGGAUUCGCACCGGUUCUCUCAAACCGCGAGCCCGAUCUCCGCAAACGCCACCCAGCAACCGGUCAACGAGGACGUCAGCGACGCCAGUCCGCUGCCGUACGUAGCCAAAGAUAGGCACUUCCUCGUGUCGUUAGAAAGCGCAGGUGCGCACAAUGUCACCGGCGCACCACUUCAAGGAGACGCAGCACUCGGGCUUGUUGUCGGUGACCGCGUACUGGCAGAGAAACUGGAGCGUCUGAGCCGGGACUGCAGUGCACGCGAUGAGGCACUCGAUAACCUUUACCGUGACAACCGAAGCCUACAAGAGGCGGUGCAGCAUGCGGAGUCUCGCACGCGUGCGUGCGAGGCGGAACUGCAGCACUGUCAAGAGAAGAUGGAGGAGCUUGCGGAGCAGCUGUCGUGUGAGCAGCACCGCACAAGGCAACUGGAAGACGAGAAGCGGCUAAGUGCCGUUAGCGAAGAGAAGCUGCGUGAGCAGAUCAUGCAACUGCGGCAGGCCGUGAAAACUGCAGCUGUCGGCCAAACGCCCCUCGUGGCACCGAACGGGCUGAGCACAGGCGUGUCUAUUACACACGCAGCCCCGGUGCACGUGAGGCUGCCUCUCAACGCCUCCAUACUAGAGCACAGCGUCCCAUACGAGAAAGCCGCCACCUGGAGAGACUGCGCACGAGAGGCAGCGCGGUGGUGGAAGGAGUUGAGGUUGAACGCAGUCCCACCUCGAAGCUCUCAGGUGUGCAAUGCCAUGAGCACAGCACACGCCCGAGGAAGUGGGGUGCUGCGACGAGGUCCACGCGCGCCGCUUAUGCUUGGCGGCAUUUUCGCCAUCCUUAUGUUCAUUUAUAUGCUCUUCCUGUUCGUCGAUUCCGCCCGCGCGGCCAGGCGCGCCCGUGAUAUGGCAUAGCGAAUUACACGACCCACAUUUUUUUUUUACUUCCUUCCUGCAUCCUCCUUGUCCACCCGCCUGCGUGCGUGUGUGGGGGCUCGUGUGUUUGCGCGAAUUGAGGUCGGGUUUGUGUUUGCCUCCCUGGAUUGACUCUCAGCCCUCUGCUGCGUGAUCAUUUUUUCUCUUUCGCGGCGUGGUUGUCUUCCCUGAUGGCAGAGGGAAGGGGAAGAACGCACCUCUGUGCGUCGCAUCUCAGAGUUCAGUACCGCCGCUCUUUCUGGAAAAGCCAAGCGGCACCCUUCCCCCCUCCCCGCUAUCCCUUGCCCCUGCCGAGCCACCUGUGAUUAGGAGAGGGCGAAGCCAGGGCCGCUUUACGGCUACCGGUGUCGGCGGCCAGGUCCUGGGCGGCGCUGCGUCGGAGCGGCCCGAGACGAUGCGAGCACGCUCGUGCCACCUAUAUGGUGGGCGAAGCGCCAACGUGCCUCGAGCGCAUCCCGCCCCACGGCCCUCACACGGUCUACUGGUGCGGGACGCCUGCGUGUGACCCCGAGAGAGGUGCGCCAGGUGGCGGCCAGCAUGGUGGGAGCCGCGGGUGUGAGGCAGCCUGCGCAGCGGCGGUGGAUGAUGAGUCGAGGUUGGCGCAGAGGCCGCGCUCAGGCCGUCGAGCCGGUGCGUUGCUGUAACGCGUGUCCACGGGUGCGAUCGGCACAUACGCGAUCGCGUCUGUGACAGACUGGUGGGUAGCGGGGCGUGCGACGCACGCUUUAUGGCCAAGUAAUGGAGCCUCUAUAAGAAACGUUCCGUUCCCAUGGUUUCGCGUCGCGCCAGGGGACCUCAUUCUUUAUCCGUAGCGUCGCUCAGCAUAUAGUUCCGCGCUUUAUUAUUGCUGUUUUUUUUUCGCGGUGUUUCGGAUGUGGAGGUCCGUCCUGCAUGUGGCUGUGUCGGACGUUUGGAACCUUGCGCGCUGUGGUUUUGCAUGCUGGUGCAUCUGCCAGCAGCCGAGCCUGCCUCAGUUGUGUUUGCGUGUGAUCGUCCUUAUCUCUUGCAUGUGCAGGGGAAGCUGCUUCGCCGCUUCCCUCAGCACUCCUGCUCCUCUGCAGAUAUACUUGUCGCUCGGGGGAGGGGCUUCUGUGUUUCCGCUAUCUGCUCGCCAUCCCGAGUCCAGUUACGUAGAGCCGGUGCGUGCCUUCUGUAGGACGUGAUGUGUCUCCUGGCAGUCGCAGCUCUCUUUGAAUGCAUGUCCUUUUCUUUUUCCCCACAGCAUACCCGAGUGUCUGCCAUCAUGCGCCGAUACUGUUCCGAAACUUCCAGGUGAGCGCGGUGCUGGCGUGCCUCAGCGCACGUCUUUUCCUGUGCAUGUUUUACCCUCCCUCACCCCCGCACCCCGUCAUGGCAUGCUUUUCGUGUUUGUCGUCCUCGUUCGCCCUCUCUUCGCAUGUUUCUUUUUCGUUUGGAUUUUACGUACCGAAUCGGCCGGCUGGUUCCGCAAAAAAAAAG
rnacentral:misc_RNA from 1 species